rnacentral:rRNA from 1 species
AACGCGAAGAACCUUACCAGGACUUGACAUCACAUAGACCAGUCUAGAGAUAGACUUUCCCUUCGGGGCUGUGGUGACAGGUGGUGCAUGGUUGUCGUCAGCUCGUGUCGUGAGAUGUUGGGUUAAGUCCCGCAACGAGCGCAACCCUUACUUUGUGUUGCCAGCAUUCAGUUGGGCACUCACAAGGGACUGCCGCCGAUAAGGCGGAGGAAGGUGGGGAUGACGUCAAAUCAUCAUGCCCCUUAUGUCCUGGGCUACACACGUGCUACAAUGGGCGGUACAACGGGAUGCGAAGCCGCGAGGUGGAGCCAAACCCUGAAAACCGUUCGUAGUUCGAAUUGUAGGCUGCAACUCGCCUACAUGAAGCCGGAAUUGCUAGUAAUCGCGGAUCAGCAUGCCGCGGUGAAUCCGUUCCCGGGCCUUGUACACACCGGUAUCUC